rnacentral:rRNA from 1 species
AUUGAACGCUGGCGGCGUGCUUAACACAUGCAAGUCGAACGAUGAACUUGGAGCUUGCUCUGGGGGAUUAGUGGCGAACGGGUGAGUAACACGUGAGUAACCUGCCCUGGACUCUGGGAUAACUUCGAGAAAUCGGAGCUAAUACCGGAUAGGACCUUGCACCGCAUGGUGUGGGGUGGAAAGUUUUUCGGUUUGGGAUGGACUCGCGGCCUAUCAGCUUGUUGGUGAGGUAAUGGCUCACCAAGGCGUCGACGGGUAGCCGGCCUGGGAGGGUGACCGGCCACACUGGGACUGAGACACGGCCCAGACUCCUACGGGAGGCAGCAGUGGGGAAUAUUGCACAAUGGGCGCAAGCCUGAUGCAGCAACGCCGCGUGCGGGAUGACGGCCUUCGGGUUGUAAACCGCUUUUAGUAGGGAAGAAGCCUUCGGGUGACGGUACCUGCAGAAGAAGGACCGGCCAACUACGUGCCAGCCGCCGCCGUAAAAC